CCAGACUCCUACGGGAGGCAGCAGUGGGGAAUAUUGCACAAUGGGGGAAACCCUGAUGCAGCGACGCCGCGUGAGCGAUGAAGUAUUUCGGUAUGUAAAGCUCUAUCAGCAGGGAAGAGAAUGACGGUACCUGACUAAGAAGCCCCGGCUAACUACGUGCCAGCAGCCGCGGUAAUACGUAGGGGGCAAGCGUUAUCCGGAUUUACUGGGUGUAAAGGGAGCGUAGACGGCGUGGCAAGCCAGAUGUGAAAUACCGGGGCUCAACCCCGGGACUGCUCUGGAAACUGCGUCGCUGGAGUACGGGAGGGGCAGGCGGAAUUCCUGGUGUAGCGGUGAAAUGCGUAGAUAUCAGGAGGAACACCGGCGGCGAAGGCGGCCUGCUGGACUGUGACUGACGUUGAGGCUCGAGAGCGUGGGGAGCAAACAGGAUUAGAUACCCCGGUAA
rnacentral:rRNA from 1 species